rnacentral:rRNA from 1 species
AUUGAACGCUGCCGUCAGGCCUAACACAUGCAAGUCGAACGGUAGCACAGAGAGCUUGCUCUCGGGUGACGAGUGGCGGACGGGUGAGUAAUGUCUGGGAAACUGCCCGAUGGAGGGGGAUAACUACUGGAAACGGUAGCUAAUACCGCAUAACGUCGCAAGACCAAAGAGGGGGACCUUCGGGCCUCUUGCCAUCGGAUGUGCCCAGAUGGGAUUAGCUUGUAGGUGAGGUAACGGCUCACCUAGGCGACGAUCCCUAGCUGGUCUGAGAGGAUGACCAGCCACACUGGAACUGAGACACGGUCCAGACUCCUACGGGAGGCAGCAGUGGGGAAUAUUGCACAAUGGGCGCAAGCCUGAUGCAGCCAUGCCGCGUGUAUGAAGAAGGCCUUCGGGUUGUAAAGUACUUUCAGCGGGGAGGAAGGGAGUGAGGUUAAUAACCUCAUUCAUUGACGUUACCCGCAGAAGAAGCACCGGCUAACUCCGUGCCAGCAGCCGCGGUAAUACGGAGGGUGCGAGCGUUAAUCGGAAUUACUGGGCGUAAAGCGCACGCAGGCGGUCUGUCAAGUCGGAUGUGAAAUCCCCGGGCUCAACCUGGGAACUGCAUUCGAAACUGGCAGGCUGGAGUCUUGUAGAGGGGGGUAGAAUUCCAGGUGUAGCGGUGAAAUGCGUAGAGAUCUGGAGGAAUACCGGUGGCGAAGGCGGCCCCCUGGACAAAGACUGACGCUCAGGUGCGAAAGCGUGGGGAGCAAACAGGAUUAGAUACCCUGGUAGUCCACGCUGUAAACGAUGUCGACUUGGAGGUUGUUCCCUUGAGGAGUGGCUUCCGGAGCUAACGCGUUAAGUCGACCGCCUGGGGAGUACGGCCGCAAGGUUAAAACUCAAAUGAAUUGACGGGGGCCCGCACAAGCGGUGGAGCAUGUGGUUUAAUUCGAUGCAACGCGAAGAACCUUACCUACUCUUGACAUCCAGAGAACUUAGCAGAGAUGCUUUGGUGCCUUCGGGAACUCUGAGACAGGUGCUGCAUGGCUGUCGUCAGCUCGUGUUGUGAAAUGUUGGGUUAAGUCCCGCAACGAGCGCAACCCUUAUCCUUUGUUGCCAGCGAUUCGGUCGGGAACUCAAAGGAGACUGCCAGUGAUAAACUGGAGGAAGGUGGGGAUGACGUCAAGUCAUCGUGGCCCUUACGAGUAGGGCUACACACGUGCUACAAUGGCAUAUACAAAGAGAAGCGACCUCGCGAGAGCAAGCGGACCUCAUAAAGUAUGUCGUAGUCCGGAUUGGAGUCUGCAACUCGACUCCAUGAAGUCGGAAUCGCUAGUAAUCGUGGAUCAGAAUGCCACGGUGAAUACGUUCCCGGGCCU